AUAUGUUUCGUACAUGAUCUAUUUUUUUAUUAUUACAUUUUAGACUAAGUAUGGAUCAAUUUUUUUGGUUUAGGUUUGAUUCAGAUUUCGGGUUAUGGAUUUUAUGCCCAAUUCUACUUUAAAUAAAGAGAAACACAAUUUAUCAAAAACUAUCCCGCGCUUAUCCAGUUUUAUUUAUUGUUGAAACCAUAUAUACCACUAUGUAAAAGCGACAAUACAUAGUGAAAGAUGUAUUCUUUGUAUUCCUUUUGUUGCAAAGCCAUAUUUUUAUGAUAAUUGAAAAUUGGUCAUCCCAAAUUUUAAUUCAUAGUUGAAUCAAUAAAUUUGAUUCUACACAGUAAAAUAUCUAUUGCUCUUAUUUGGGCUAACUUUGUAAUACAACAAAAGUCAACGCAAUAAUAACACAAGACUCUCUCCAGGGAUUGACAGCUCUGCUUUUUUAAAACAUGUGAGAGUGACAUGUCAAUAAAUGAAAAUAGUUGAAAAGCCAAUAAGAACAUUUCAUGUUUAAAUGUUUCCAGUCAUUGCAAUGUGACUUUGUUCUUUGUUCAUGUUACAACCGGAUGACAUGUGAGUUUUGGAGACGAAAGAGUGAUGAUCGUUUGACUUCUCUUUCUCUCUCUAUGUUUCAUUGAUACUGCACACACUCUGGUCCCUUCAAACCCAGAAGAUCUAUCUUCCUUGCAGUGCGCUCCUCAUGGCAAAACCACUGCGUUUCUCGCCGUUAUCGAAGAUCGAAUCGAGAUGGGUACCACCGCCUUUCUUGCCGUGAACGCAGAUCGAGUCGUCGCGCCGAGAUUUGAAUUGGGAGAUGGGUUUAUCAUUCUGAAGAUAAAAUUUUCAAAAGAAAUUAAUCCACAGGAGACGGUCAAAGAUCGAGAAGGCCAAAGAAACUGUUAAUCGAGAGCUCCCCAUAAAUCUAUGGAAGAAGAAGUUAUUGAUGUUAGACUCAAAUGGCUUGGAUUGUUACAUAACAGAAGCAUCAGUCUAUAUGGUAAGCUUUCCAUGAGUUGUGGAGUUACCUAAUGGUGUGACCAAAGUGCACAGACUUGGUGACUUGGUGCUAAGCGAGUGUGAUUAGGAAGUGUGGUGAAGAUGGAUGUUCUCAUGUGACAAAUAGACAGAACUAACAGUUCUGCGGGUGUUGUGUUGUGUGAUGUUCCUGAGACCUUAAUAUGUCUUUCUUCUAUUGGGUUAGCAAGUAUCUUACAGUGGGAUGGAUAAUUUGAGGAAUCUUACAGUGGGAUGGAUAAUCUCAUUCCAUGUUUCGUUUUUGUAAUCCUAUGUCUUUUUACUGGUCAAUUUGCGUAUUAUUUCGUCUUUAUACAUAUGAAAUACGUUGAAGUAGUUAUGAAUGACCAAAAUAGUGCUGUCGACGACCAAAGAUGUGAUCCACCUUUGUUUCUUUACUAGGUAAAAGUCAUUGUGACAACUUAAUAAUUCAAAUUUGGACGUACCUCCAUACCGUACUAUCUUCUACUUAAUUUCUUUAUACAAAAUUACAUUUAGUAAACACAUGACUUUCACAAUAUAUUCCACAAUAAGCAAUUAAGUUUUAACAAAAGAAAAAAUUACCACCUAACAUAAUAUAAUACUAUACACAAAACAAAACUAUAAAUUACACAAAAAAGAAUCUCAUCUUCAAGAAAAUAUCAAUACAUUUUUAAAAUAUAAAACAUGCUUAAAAUGUAAAAAAAAAAGAUUUAAAAGAAAAGUUAUAAUAAAUACCAAAAUAUAUUAUUAUCUACCAAUCAAAAUUUACUCAAAUAAAAUAUUUAUAACAUGUAA